GAUGAACGCUGGCGGCGUGCCUAAUACAUGCAAGUCGAGCGAAUGGAUUAAGAGCUUGCUCUUAUGAAGUUAGCGGCGGACGGGUGAGUAACACGUGGGUAACCUGCCCAUAAGACUGGGAUAACUCCGGGAAACCGGGGCUAAUACCGGAUAACAUUUUGAACCGCAUGGUUCGAAAUUGAAAGGCGGCUUCGGCUGUCACUGAUGGAUGGACCCGCGUCGCAUUAGCUAGUUGGUGAGGUAACGGCGCACCAAGGCAACGAUGCGUAGCCGGCCUGAGAGGGUGAUCGGCCACACUGGGACUGAGACACGGCCCAGACUCCUACGGGAGGCAGCAGUAGGGAAUCUUCCGCAAUGGACGAAAGUCUGACGGAGCAACGCCGCGUGAGUGAUGAAGGCUUUCGGGUCGUAAAACUCUGUUGUUAGGGAAGAACAAGUGCUAGUUGAAUAAGCUGACACCUUGACGGUACCUAACCAGAAAGCCACGGCUAACUACGUGCCAGCAGCCGCCGUAA
rnacentral:rRNA from 1 species